rnacentral:rRNA from 1 species
UACGUAGGGGGCAAGCGUUGUCCGGAAUCAUUGGGCGUAAAGCGCGUGUAGGCGGUUCUGUAAGUCUGCUGUGAAAGUCCACUGCUUAACAGUGGGAUGCGUGCCGAUACGCCAUAACUGGAGCGAUGCAGAGGCCAGUGGAAUUGCCGGUGUAGUGGUGAAAUGCGUAGAGAUCGGCAGGAACACCCAAGGGGAAGCCAGCUGGCUGGGCAUUUGCUGACGCUCAUGUGCGACAGCGUGGGGAGCGAACUGG